GGGGAUAGUACAGCUCAGUGUAGAGUGCAUGCUUAGCAUGCAUGAGGUCCUAGGUUCAAUCCCCGGUACCUCCU
rfam:Camelus ferus unplaced genomic scaffold scaffold848, whole genome shotgun sequence.